AAAGAACUCCAAACACUCCACUAAUGGCAGAUUGCAUGUGCAAGGUGUCUUCCUCCUUUGGACUGCACGGCACUCCUUCUUUCUCCUCCUUUGGUGGCUGCGCAAGGUGGUAAUGGUGGUGGGAAGGCACGGCUGUGGUGGAUGGAUGGUUAUGGAAGAGGGUAAGAAGGGUUAAAAGGGAUUAGGGAGCCACGGCAAUGGUGUAGAAAUCAGAAAAUAUGGAAGUUUUAGGGUGAAGGCUGCGGCAAAGGAUGUAACUAGGGUUUUUGGCGUGAAUGAAUAGAUGGGGAGUGGUAGUUCGGCCAAAAGGGUUAGAAUGAAUAUAUAUAGGCACUUAAAAACCCUAGCAAUCAGAUUAGGGUUUCUAGAAACCCAAAUCCACCAGAAAUUAGGUUAACACAAUAGGAAUUUGCAUGGGAAAAGGCUAGGGUGCGGCAGAUUUGGUGGGAGUAUGGAUAGGCCUUCUAGAAAGCCUUGCAAGGCAAGGAAAUCAGAUAUUUUGGGGCCUAGGUGCGGCAAAGGCUUAGAA
rnacentral:lncRNA from 1 species